GGGUUGUGAGGUUAAGCGACUAAGCGUACACGGUGGAUGCCCUGGCAGUCAGAGGCGAUGAAGGGCGUGCUAAUCUGCGAUAAGCGCCGGUAAGGUGAUAUGAACCGUUAUAACCGGCGAUACCCGAAUGGGGAAACCCAGUGUGACUCGUCACACUAUCAUUAACUGAAUCCAUAGGUUAAUGAGGCGAACCGGGGGAACUGAAACAUCUAAGUACCCCGAGGAAAAGAAAUCAACCGAGAUUCCCCCAGUAGCGGCGAGCGAACGGGGAGGAGCCCAGAGCCUGAAUCAGCAUGUGUGUUAGUGGAAGCGUCUGGAAAGGCGCGCGAUACAGGGUGACAGUCCCGUACACAAAAGCGCAUGUGCUGUGAGCUCGAUGAGUAGGGCGGGACACGUGGUAUCCUGUCUGAAUAUGGGGGGACCAUCCUCCAAGGCUAAAUACUCCUGACUGACCGAUAGUGAACCAGUACCGUGAGGGAAAGGCGAAAAGAACCCCGGCGAGGGGAGUGAAAAAGAACCUGAAACCGUGUACGUACAAGCAGUGGGAGCCCCACCACUAAGCCAGUGGUGAACUCCACAUACGCAUCCUUUGCUGAGGAUACGGUUAACGGAGCGAAAGCGACGUUCAACCGCAAAAGAAGCAGAGGGGGCUUAGUGGUGGGGUGACUGCGUACCUUUUGUAUAAUGGGUCAGCGACUUAUAUUCUGUAGCAAGGUUAACCG
rnacentral:rRNA from 4 species